UAUUGAGCAAAUCCCAACAAAAACCCUAAGUCCAUGAUCACUUACAAAUCUCUACUCAACCCGUCAUCUUCAUGAUUGAAGCCAUACGCCUGAAGGCCGCUCAUCUGACACCCUAAAGGUCAAUUUGGCCGAGUUCAUUGCCACCCUCAUCUUUGUGUUCGCCGGUGAAGGCGCCGGCAUGGCCUUCAACAAACUGACCAGCAACAAGGAUGCUGAACCGUACAAGAACUCAACUGUAGGAGCUUCUGAUGCAGAAGGAAGACUUGGCCUUCAACAAGCUGACCAGCAACAGGGAUGCUCAACUAUGCGAGAACUCGACUGUAGGCAUCAAGUUUCUGAUGCAAAAGGAAGACUUCAACGUUGCCAUUGAAAUCGUUGAGGAGUCUUUGUGCUCUGUUUUGAAAAUUUAAUGAUGAUGAUGGCUCACCUUGUGAAGGCACAUAACAACAAGUGGUGAAGAACCGAUUGAAAUACUCAGAAGAGAGGGCCCAAAAAUUGAUGAUGGAAGUAUAGUGCAAAAAUCUCUCAUUAAGUAGGUCAGAGUCAUCGGUUACUUCAAAUGCUUCAAGUUGAUAAGUGUAGAUGAGCUCGUUAAUACUAGACACUCUCAUGGUUCUUGAUUUAGGGAUCUAAUGAGUGUUGUUGUCUGCACAUCUUUCUUGACAGAAUCGCAUUCCUCAAACGCUGAGUUUUCCUGUAUCGUCACAUCUUCUAUGCAUCCUUAGCUAAAUCUCUGGAGUUCAGGUUGAAGUCCGUUGAUGAAGACCUUGGUGGUGGUGGACUCUGGAAGGUGUGCAUACGUGACUGAAGGCGGAGGAGGAAUAGUAGUGGUAGACGCAAAUGUCAUCAUUGUCGAAGGAGGGUACAAGCGUUGGUUGACAAGUAGAGUGAGCUUAGUCGAGAUUUCAUUCAUCUGUUGUGAAAUAUGAGACAUAAAUUGCUUAAAAUCAAGGCAGUGCUUUAGUUCACCUCUACGAUUAGAGGAUCAAAUCUCCAAUGGCUCCUCUAUGACCAGAGAGGAGGCUCUGGUACCUUUGAUAGGUAGAAGAGAAAGAAGGAGAGAGAGGAGAGGCAGAAGGAGAAUAGAAAAAAAGAUAAAAAUUAAUUUCAUUCAUAAUAACUCAUCACAAUUUAAAAAUUUAUUUAUAAAAAAUACAUGUAAAUACCCAAACUAUUUCUAUAUUCCUAAGUCCCCUAAUUACUCCUAUUAUUCUUAAUUUUCAUGUAUCAAGGACAAUGUUAAUUGGUAAGGAUGAGGCUGCAAUAUCUUGUUUUCUUGCCUUCAAGUUUGGAAAUCAGAGACCCCAAAUCCAUAACGAGCCUCAUACUCGUAAAUCGUAAUCUUAUUU